CUUUCCCUCUCUCUUUCGGCCUCCCCCCUGCACGUCGACCGGCAGCACAGUAAGAGCUUUCUCUUACGGGUGGCGAGUGGCGGACGGGUGAGGAAUACAUCGGAAUCUACUUUUUCGUGGGGGAUAACGUAGGGAAACUUACGCUAAUACCGCAUACGACCUACGGGUGAAAGCAGGGGAUCUUCGGACCUUGCGCGAUUGAAUGAGCCGAUGUCGGAUUAGCUAGUUGGCGGGGUAAAGGCCCACCAAGGCGACGAUCCGUAGCUGGUCUGAGAGGAUGGUCAGCCACACUGGAACUGAGACACGGUCCAGAGUCCUACGGGAGGCAGCAGUGGGGAAUAUUGGACAAUGGGCGCAAACAUGAUCCAGCCAUACCGCGUGGGUGAAGAAGGCCUUCGGGUUGUAAAGACCUUUGGUUGGGAAAGAAAAGCAGUAGGUUAAUACCACGCUGUUCUGACGGUACCGAAAGAAUAAGCACCGGCUAACUUCGUG
rnacentral:rRNA from 1 species